rnacentral:rRNA from 1 species
UACGAAGGGUGCAAGCGUUAAUCGGAAUUACUGGGCGUAAAGCGUGCGCAGGCGGUUAUGCAAGGCAGAUGUGAAAUCCCCGGGCUCAACCUGGGAACUGCAUUUGUGACUGCAUGGCUUGAGUGCGGCAGAGGGAGAUGGAAUUCCGCGUGUAGCAGUGAAAUGCGUAGAUAUGCGGAGGAACACCGAUGGCGAAGGCAAUCUCCUGGGCCUGCACUGACGCUCAUGCACGAAAGCGUGGGGAGCAAACAGG